GUGUGUGUGUGUGUGUGUGUGUGUGUGUGUCUAUGUAUAAUUUAUGUGAGUGCAUGUUCAAUUUUCCUAGCUGCAUUAUAAAAUUGUUUUUGAAAAUUAUGUUCAUUGUAUGUACAUAAUUAAUGUGUAUUUUAUUUAUUUUAUCUUAUUUAAUUUUUGUUGAUUAGCUGGUUUAAUUAGGUAAAAGAAUACAUAUUUCCAGGUAUGACUUGCUAGUUUAAUUAGAAUAAUAAGAUGAUGUGCAAUGGCUGGAAGCAAAUGUAAGAAUCAAUCUUCUAGGUAACAGUAUCAAGGUAGACAAAUGUCUGGCAUAGCUCUGCAAUGGGAUGCACCCUGCAUCUGACAGAGAAGGUACGUUUUAUACGACAGCAUCAUACACCUGCCUUUUUAUUUUAUUUUUUUUUUUAUUUAGAACAAGAAAAAAAAAUAAUCUUUAAUCUGGUCAGAGGAAUACUUUCCAAAUGAUAACACAGGAGAAAUACAUGUGCCAUUCUGAUAAAAUGUUAAAUCAGCAUGAAUCCUUUAUAGAAAUGCUUUUAUGUUACUACAUAUGAUUGUUCCCUCAUGGCUUACUAUCCCCAGGUACUCAUAUCUGAGUAGCUUUUCUAUACCCUAUCCCUAUUUUCUCACUAGAAGCAUUCUAGUCCUGUGACUUGCUUACAUCACUCCUGUUCAUGGCCCUUACUGGAGCAUUCUAGUCCUGUGACUUGCUUACAUCACUCCUGUUCCUGGUCCUUACUAGAGCAUUCUAGUCCUGUGACUUGCUUACAUCACUCCUGUUCAUGGUCCUUACUGGAGCAUUCUAGUCCUGUGACUUGCUUACAUCACUCCUGUUCAUGGUCCUUACUGGAGCAUUCUAGUCCUGUGACUUGCUUACAUCACUCCUGUUCAUGGUCCUUACUGGAGCAUUCUAGUCCUGUGACUUGCUUACAUCACUCCUGUUCAUGGUCCUUACUGGAGCAUUCUAGUCCUGUGACUUGCUUACAUCACUCCUGUUCAUGGUUCUUACUGGCACCUUCACACUUUAAGAGGGAUGCAUAUUUGCACUUUAGCACUGCCUGCUACCAAGACAUUGUUUACAGAGAUUUGGUGCACUUUUUUUUACUAAUGGUGCUUAUAUAUUAAGCUGUGACUAAUGCCACUGUGUGUAAAUAAAAUGAAAUUGUUUUGAUAUAUAUUUUAUUGUGCUUGCUUGUAAUCAACACACUGUUGUGUUUAUGAAAGUCAUAUUUGUUAUGGACCUGUAGAUGAUGACAACUGAAUUAAUAAACACAUUUAUAUCACA